rnacentral:rRNA from 1 species
UACGAGGGGAGCAAGCGUUGUUCGGAUUUACUGGGCGUAAAGGGCGCGUAGGCGGUCGUGACAGGUCACUUUUGAAAUCCCCGGGCUUAACUCGGAACGGUCAAGUGAUACUGUCGGACUAGAGUACAGAAGGGGCAACUGGAAUUCUCGGUGUAGCGGUGAAAUGCGUAGAUAUCGAGAGGAACACCUGCGGCGAAGGCGGGUUGCUGGGCUGAUACUGACGCUGAUGCGCGAAAGCCAGGGGAGCGAACGGG